rnacentral:rRNA from 1 species
GGCGCAGCAGUCGAGGAAUAUUGGACAAUGGGCGCAAGCCUGAUCCAGCCAUGCCGCGUGCAGGAAGACGGUCCUAUGGAUUGUAAACUGCUUUUAUACAGGAAGAAACACCACUACGAGUAGUGACUUGACGGUACUGUAAGAAUAAGGAUCGGCUAACUCCGUGCCAGCAGCCGCGGUAAUACGGAGGAUCCAAGCGUUAUCCGGAAUCAUUGGGUUUAAAGGGUCCGUAGGCGGUUUAAUAAGUCAGUGGUGAAAUCUGGUCGCUUAACGAUCAAACGGCCAUUGAUACUGUUAGACUUGAACUAUUAGGAGGUAACUAGAAUAUGUAGUGUAGCGGUGAAAUGCUUAGAUAUUACAUGGAAUACCAAUUGCGAAGGCAGGUUACUACUAAUAUAUUGACGCUGAUGGACGAAAGCGUGGGGAGCGAACAGGAUUAGAUACCCGAGUA